rnacentral:rRNA from 1 species
CGCACGGGUGAGUAAUAUAUAGUUAACCUGCCCUAGAGAAGGGGAUAACGUUUGGAAACGGACGCUAACACCCUAUAUGCCUUUAAUACAUAAGUAUGCAAGGGAAACAUUUAUGGCUCUAGGAUGGGACUGUACGGUAUCAGUUAGUUGGUGAGGUAAUGGCUCACCAAGACAAUGACACCUAACUGGUAUGAGAGGAUGAUCAGUCACACUGGAACUGAGACACGGUCCAG